rnacentral:rRNA from 1 species
AUGGUGGGAACUCAAAGGAGACUGCCGGUGAUAAACCGGAGGAAGGUGGGGAUGACGUCAAGUCAUCAUGGCCCUUACGAGUAGGGCUACACACGUGCUACAAUGGCAGAUACAAAGAGAAGCGACCUCGCGAGAGCAAGCGGAACUCAUAAAGUCUGUCGUAGUCCGGAUUGGAGUCUGCAACUCGACUCCAUGAAGUCGGAAUCGCUAGUAAUCGUAGAUCAGAAUGCU